GCAUAUCAUGAGCUUUAUACACUAUAAAAUGAAUAAAUUAUAUUCUAUUUGUUACACGCAAAGACAUAAAUAAAUGGCUAAAACUCUCCAAUUCGUGUAUUAUAUGAUUUUAUGUAUCUCCUUAUUUCUUGUUGCAAAAAACAUUAAUGCAAUACAUUGCAACGAUGUUAAUGAUUGUCCACCAGAUAUUUCGAAUCCCUUUGUAAGGUGCGAAUCGAACCGAUGUAUAUAUUCUAGAUUGGAACCACCUUUUGGUUGUUGAGUACGAGCCCUAGCAGAGUACAUUUACGCCAUGCAGAGAAGAAUAGUCCUUACACUAGGAAAAACUAUGCAAUAUACAUUUCACUAGAAUAUUCCAUAGUUUCUUUUUAGUUAUUGUAAGGGUAUCCAAUAAUUGUUAUAUUUUUAUUUAUUUUUGUUUUUAUAAUUUCAAGGACCUUGCAACUGUGGCUUUGUAUUCUAUGAUGUUGGUAAUAAAAUGAAUUAAGGCAAUAAAGAAUAUUAUAAUUA